UACGAAGGGGGCUAGCGUUGUUCGGAAUUACUGGGCGUAAAGCGCGCGCAGGCGGUCUUCCAAGUCAGUGGUGAAAGCCCGGAGCUCAACUCCGGAACUGCCAUUGAAACUGUAAGACUUGAGGACGAGAGAGGUGAGUGGAAUUCCCAGUGUAGAGGUGAAAUUCGUAGAUAUUGGGAAGAACACCGGUGGCGAAGGCGGCUCACUGGCUCGUAUGACGCUCAUGCACGACAGCGUGGGGAUCAAACAGG
rnacentral:rRNA from 1 species